UGGGGAAUAUUGGACAAUGGGCGAAAGCCUGAUCCAGCCAUGCCGCGUGAGUGACGAAGGCCUUAGGGUUGUAAAACUCUUUCGUCGGGGACGAUAAUGACGGUACCCGAAGAAGAAGCUCCGGCUAACUUCGUGCCAGCAGCCGCGGUAAUACGAAGGGAGCUAGCGUUGUUCGGAAUCACUGGGCGUAAAGCGCACGUAGGCGGAUAGUUAAGUCAGGGGUGAAAUCCUGGGGCUCAACCCCAGAACUGCCUUUGAUACUGGCUGUCUCGAGGUCGAGAGAGGUUGGUGGAAUUCCUAGUGUAGAGGUGAAAUUCGUAGAUAUUAGGAAGAACACCAGUGGCGAAGGCGGCCAACUGGCUCGAUACUGACGCUGAGGUGCGAAAGCCAGGGGAGCAAACGGGAUUAGAUACCCUCGUAGUCCCUGAGCGGGCUGGCAAGGCGCAU
rnacentral:rRNA from 1 species